rnacentral:rRNA from 1 species
GGGGCUUACACACACGCUACAAUGGUCUGUACAAUGGGUAGCCAAGCCGCGAGGCGGAGCCAAUCCUGAAAGCAGGCCUCAGUUCAGAUUGCAGUCUGCAACUCGACUGCAUGAAGCCGGAGUUGCUAGUAACCGCAGGUCAGCAAUACUGCGGUGAAUACCGUUCCCGGGUCUU